rnacentral:rRNA from 1 species
CGCGUGGAGAACCUGCCGUAUACUGGGGGAUAACACUUAGAAAUAGGUGCUAAUACCGCAUAAGCGCACAGCUUCGCAUGAAGCAGUGUGGAAAACAAAAAGCUAAAGCUUUUGGUGGUAUACGAUGGAUCCGCGUCUGAUUAGCUUGUUGGCGGGGUAAAGGCCCACCAAGGCGACGAUCAGUAGCCGGCCUGAGAGGGUGAACGGCCACAUUGGGACUGAGACACGGCCCAAACUCCUACGGGAGGCAGCAG